GUGUUGCAAGCCAGGAUUUAAGCAAGAGAAGGAAGGAACAAGGGUAUCUCAGGCAGAGGGCAUGGGAUAGGCCAAGCCCCACAGGAGAGAAGGAGGAAGAAAGCUUCUAGAAUAUAGAGGAGACUGGCCAGCUGAAGGGCUGGUGGAUGAAGUCAGAGAGGGAGGCUGGAGCUUGGUCCUGGAGUUCCUUGAAUUCCUACGGUGGGGCUCAGAUUUGAUCUGAUGGGAAAAGAGAGUUGACCCUCAGGAAAGAUCUGUGACCCUAUAAAAGAAACAGAUGAAAAACCACGGCCAACGUCAGGAAUGAGCAAGUGAAAACAACUGGAACCUGUAUUUUACUCCCAACGUUGCCCGCGUUUCCCGACGAGGAUGCCACGGGCGGCAGAGGGUGGAGGGACGGCGGCGGGCACGGGAGGGCCCCCACCUCGAGGUGCCCAGGCUCUGCAGGCCCGCACGCGGGGCCCUAGGCCGAGGAGCCCGUCGAGUGUGCCACCUGCACCUGCAGCAGGGUGCUUCCCGUGGGUGCUCUGACGGCCCUGGCGGGGACGGAAGCUCCACAUCCAGCUGCAGCUGCGCAAGGGAAUGGCCUCGGCUUCGGACGCGGUGACCCUCCUGAUGAACCUGGUCUCCUGUCACCUUGAUGGCAUCACAGCGCCACACGCCACACCUCGGCCUGGUCCCGGACGGCUCCCGUCCUACCUCACGUACCUGCGAAUCUUUUCGGUGACACUCUGGGUUCCUCCUCAGACCCUAAGCCCCCUGAAGGCCAGGGCGACGGCUGUUAGGUUUAUAACUGCGUCUCCGGUGCCUUAGUUCUUGGGACACGACGGGCCCUCAAUAAAUAGCCGUAAAUCAG